rnacentral:rRNA from 1 species
UAUGGCUCAGGACGAACGCUGGCGGCGUGCUUAACACAUGCAAGUCGAGCGAUGAAGCUCUUCGGAAGUGGAUUAGCGGCGGACGGGUGAGUAACACGUGGGUAACCUGCCUCAUAGAGGGGAAUAGCCUUCCGAAAGGAAGAUUAAUACCGCAUAAGAUUGUAAUAUCGCAUGAUAUAGCAAUUAAAGGAGUAAUCCGCUAUGAGAUGGACCCGCGUCGCAUUAGCUAGUUGGUGAGGUAACGGCGGUCACCAAGGCGACGAUGCGUAGCCGACCUGAGAGGGUGAUCGGCCACAUUGGGACUGAGACACGGCCCAGACUCCUACGGGAGGCAGCAGUGGGGAAUAUUGCACAAUGGGGGAAACCCUGAUGCAGCCAACGCCGCGUGAGUGAUGACGGUCUUCGGAUUGUAAAGCUCUGUCUUCAGGGACGAUAAUGACGGUACCUGAGGAGGAAGCCACGGCUAACUACGUGCCAGCAGCCGC